rnacentral:rRNA from 1 species
AUUGAACGCUGGCGGCAUGCCUAACACAUGCAAGUCGAACGAGAUCUUCGGGUCUAGUGGCGCACGGGUGCGUAACGCGUGGGAAUCUGCCCUUUGGUUCGGAAUAACAGUUGGAAACGACUGCUAAUACCGGAUGAUGACGAAAGUCCAAAGAUUUAUCGCCAGAGGAUGAGCCCGCGUAGGAUUAGCUAGUUGGUGUGGUAAAGGCGCACCAAGGCGACGAUCCUUAGCUGGUCUGAGAGGAUGAUCAGCCACACUGGGACUGAGACACGGCCCAGACUCCUACGGGAGGCAGCAGUGGGGAAUAUUGGACAAUGGGCGAAAGCCUGAUCCAGCAAUGCCGCGUGAGUGAUGAAGGCCUUAGGGUUGUAAAGCUCCUUUACCCGGGAUGAUAAUGACAGUACCGGGAGAAUAAGCUCCGGCUAACUCCGUGCCAGCAGCCGCCGCAG